AACGAACGCUGGCGGCAGGCUUAACACAUGCAAGUCGAACGCAUCCUUCGGGGUGAGUGGCAGACGGGUGAGUAACGCGUGGGAACGUGCCCUUCAGUUCGGGAUAACCCAGGGAAACUUGGGCUAAUACCGGAUACGUGCGAGAGCAGAAAGAUUUAUCGCUGAAGGAUCGGCCCGCGUCUGAUUAGCUAGUUGGUGGGGUAAUGGUCCACCAAGGCGACGAUCAGUAGCUGGUCUGAGAGGAUGAUCAGCCACAUUGGGACUGAGACACGGCCCAAACUCCUACGGGUGGCAGCAGUGGGGAAUAUUGGACAAUGGGCGCAAGCCUGAUCCAGCCAUGCCGCGUGAGUGAUGAAGGCCUUAGGGUUGUAAAGCUCUUUCGUCCGGGACGAUAAUGACGGUACCGGAAGAAACCCCGGCUAACUCUGUGCCAGCCGCCGCCGUAA
rnacentral:rRNA from 1 species